UCUGCUAUCUGGAACCUGGAGGGGCGCAAAACUAAAUUGAGUGGGUCAGUAAAACAAAGUUUUUCGAAAAUAUUUCAUUUAAAACAUUUCUAACCCCUCACUGUAAAACGUGUAUACUUUCCUAGAAAAUAACAUAAUAGUAUAUAAAACCUCAUACGUCACAAAUCACCAAUCUAUCACAAAUCCAGGAAUAUGCCAUGCCAUAAAUGUCAAUAACAAAACGCUGAUGCAUCAAAAUAACAGGUGACAUAAUGAAUCAACCGGAGACCCUGCAAUUGGUCCUGUAUGGUUGAUUCCAUAGCUCAACAUCCAACCCAGCCGGAGUCACCACGGUGACCUGUACGGCACUACUCUGCACAUAAGUCGGAACUACCUGAAGUAGUCUGUACGACGAGGAUGGUGUAAUGAUACGCUCUAGUGCUUCUCUCAUCAAUCAUCUGCGCACGUAAUCUAAGGUCACCUACUAGUCGGAACCACCUCUAGUGGUCUGUACGACUAGCGUGUCGGAACCUUCUCAUGGUUUGUACGACAUGCACCAACUUGGAUCCAAGGUGAGCGUGCGGUGCAGUGAAUAAUAUAAGCACUAACACCGGGGUGCAGGUUAUGAGUUCUCGACAAUUCACAUUAUCGAUGAUUCACAUGAUUAACAUAAAACUCACCUGAUACUCACUUGUGCGUCCACAACACCAAUUCAUAUAUAUAUAUGCAUCAAUUUCAAUUCAUAUAAUUCAUAAUAUGCAUGCAUGGUGUUUGAAAACAUACUUUCAUAUAAAUUCAAUUUCUGGGAAAAUUAAUAGUAUAUAGAUAUGUACUGAAAAUAAAACUGCCCACUCACCUGGAGUUUGCCCAACAACUCCCUAGCACCACAUAUCAAGGUGUCAUGACGAUCGGCGCCUAGAACAAUAAUCAAAUCCAACCUCAUAAUUCAUAUCGAUAGAAUAUAUAACUUAUAUAAAACACGUCACUACGUAGUUCGAUCCGGAAGAUUUGCAACUUAGAUUUCAAAUCCAUAACUUCCAGAGGUCCACAAUAUACUUCUAGGACAGCAUCCUAAAAUUUCAUUACCAUCCAACGGUUAGAUCUCCGUCAAUUUCCAAAACCAAGUGACGGUUAACAUUCUAUUUUAUGAACUUACAAGUCCAAUUCCGAAAGAUCCGUAAAUAGGAUUCCCGAUCCGUAAGUUCCAAUAAUCCUCAAAUAUUACGUAUUACAACGUAUCAAAGUUUGGUGACGAUCCAACGGUCGGAUCGUCAAUUCACAUUUUUACCUAACCAUGAAUCGAGACGAACUUAGGUUCAAUUACUCAAUUUACGUCCAUCAAUUAUCAAAACUGAACCUAAAACCUUAAACACAUGCUAAGAAUGACAUUGGUGGGCCAUUGGCCAUGCACCGCCGCACGGGCCGCCACGGGUGGCGGUCGGCCGCCCCGGCUCGCAGGAAAAUCAAACUAUUUCAAAAAAUUACCAAAAUUUGUAGAUUUGAAGAUCUCAACGAGUAGAGUAAACUUUAUUACUGAAGCCAAGGCCAAUUUGGCCUGGAAGAGCUCCAAUUUUGCCAAAACCGUGAAGAACCCUAGAAUUGGGUGUUUUCAAUUCGACCUUCAAAUCAACUCCACCGUCCAAAUCAAUGCUUGGGCUUUGUUCCAGGUCCUAAGGGAAUGCUAAUGGUGUUAGUAAUUGAAAGAAAACAUUUCAAAAUUUGAAGAAUUUGAACAAGAAAGUCGCGGCACCCACGGGUGCAUUUUUCACCAAACCACCAUCAAAUUUCAUGAUUUUUGGGGUGAAACAUGAAGAGGGAAGGCCUAGGUGUUGAUUGGGAGUGGUACCUUGAUCCAAUUCGUCGGAAAAUUGAACAAGAACGGUGAGAAACCGCCGGUUUGAAGGCACGGGUCGCACGGGUCAAGGAUGACCCGUUUCCUCCUUUUCCCCCGUUCAUCACUCUCCCUCCUUUCCCUCCUUUCUUCUCCCUCUGAUUGGUCCUCCACCUUCUCUUCUUUCUGGUUGGCCCAACUCCUCCCGCUCUCCUGUUCCGAUUGGGUAGCUUGCCCUUCUCUCCUCCUUUCUGUUUCUCCUCUUCUUUUCUUCACAUACAUACACACACAAAAACCUUUCAACAUCUUUUUAUUUAUUUAUUUAUUUUUUCCUUACAUCCAAGCCAUCCAAAUUUUAAUAAUAAAAUUCAUAAAAUGCCCAAACUUCAAACUUUAAAAUCUUUUUCGUUAUAACUCCAAAUAAUGGACCGUCUGCGCUCACGCUUCCGUAACGACAGGUACUACGAGGAUAUGCCAAGAAAACAAAUCUUAGAUAGCACGACACAAUUAUUAACCUCGACUAAUGCGCGUGCCUCAAAGGGCAUUUUUGAAAAAUCCUUUAUUAAAACUUUAAAAACUCUUAAAAUCAGGGACCAGCUGUCACAAUCUACCCACCUUAAAAAAUUUCGUCCUCGAAAUUUACCCAAUCUUUACAAUCCAUCGAUAUCCAUAAAACAACCUGAAACCCUGUCUCAUUCGAUCUUUCGUCUCCCAAGUAGUUUCUUCUGUUGAAUGAUUCAUUCAUAAAAUUUUCACUAACUUCACUGUUUUAUUCCUUAGAACUUGUCCUUCCAAUCCAAGAUAAUCACUGGUUCCUCAACAUAAAUCAAAUCCGGAUUAACUUCCAAAGAUUAAGGAGGAAUCAUACGCGACAAACCUGCUAUUUUGUAACGAAGCAUCCAAAACAUAAACUACACUAUACACCUUAUCCAAUCCCGAAAGUACUCAAACUUGAAAGUAUUUCACUGAUUCCUUCAAUUAUCAAAGACGGCCUGAUGUACCUAGGAUUUAACCUGUCUUCCAUUUCGACCCGAACCGCAACUUUCCAAGGUGAUAAUUUCAAAAACAUCUAAUCUCCUGCAUUACACGUUCGGUUAGUGGCAUGUUUGUCUGCUAAGCUCUUCAGCCGAUCCUGGCUCACUUCCAGGGUAGACUUAAUUACUUGAAUAUUCCGAGUAGUCUCCUCUACUAACUCAGGGCCUUGAAUACCAUCCGUCCACAAUUUUAACAAUUUCGAAACACAAGACACAGCUUUACACGGCUUUAUAACGUUGCUCUCGGGAACAAACUGAAAGGGCCAACAUACCCAAAAAGUUCAACAGAUCCGUAAGCCCAAAUCUCUUUUCCAUAAGACAUAUAAAUAACUGUGGCACUUCUGGAAAGGUUACUGCUCUUUCAUUGAAGAAUACUGCGCUGAUUUAGUAAGCCAAUCAAUUAACACCUCAAUUUCAUCAUAACCAUCUCGUGAACGAGGAAACUUGCACCCACAAUCUAUAUUAAUAUUUUCUCAUUUCCGCUGUGGAACGGGAAGUAACUACAUCAAUCCAAAAGACUUCUUUCUUUCCGUUUUAACCUGCUGACAGAUGUUACAUAUAUUUAUAUAUACAAACAUUUCUCUUUUCAUACCUGACCAAUAGUAAAAUGAUCGAAUGGUAUAAUACAUCUUAGUACCUCUAGAAUGCAUUGUAUAGGCUGAACAGUACGCAAAUUCCAAAAUUGCUUCCUUUAAUUCCAUAACAUUAGGUGUAAACACCUUGUUCUCUUGCAUAAGCUUGCCAUCUGAUUCUCUAACCCUGAGGUCUUUCUUUUUCCCGUUAUUCCUUGCUUUAAAUAUAUUCUUGAAUUUCUUCGUCAAAUGCUUGAGUCUCGAGUACGACCUACCAAAUAGGCCUAACUUGACAAUUAGAAAGUACAUUUUCUUUUCGGUCUUCCAUUCCCAACUUUACUCCAGUAGAUCUCAAAUCCACAAGAAGAUGAACAUGGCAAUCGUACCAAGCAUUAAUUCUUGCUGGGGUCUUCCUACUAAAAGCAUUGGCCACAACAUUUGCAUGAUCACCCUGGUUGUGCAAUCAUAAUCACUAAGCAACACAAUCCACCUUAGUUGCCUAAGAUUAAGAUACCUCUGAAUAAACAGAUAUUGGAUACUUUUUUUAUUCGUAAAAAUCUUGCACUUUUCUUCCCAUAAAGACAAUGUCUCCAAAUCUUCAAAGCAAAGAUGAUAGUUGCUAAUUAUAAAUCAUGAGUAGGGUAAUUCAUCUCAUGAGGUUUCAGUUGUUGUGAAGUGUAAUAAUCACUCUAUCAUGUUGCAUCAACACACAUCCUAACCCAUUCAAGGAUGCAUCACUGUAAACCUCAUAAUUACCUUUAUCAUCUGGAAGUGCUAAAACAGGUGUAUGAGUGAGAUAAUGCUUCAGUUGCUGAAACUUUGUUCACAAUUUUCAUCCACUCAAACCUAACCUCUUUUCUAGUCGAUCCCGCCAAUGGCAAAGCAAUGACUGAAAAAUCCUUUACCAACGUCUAUAGUAGUCUGCUAGACCAAGAAAACUCAGUACCUCAGUGACGGUUCGAGGUUGUUUCCAAUUCUCCCCAGUUGUCACUCAUUGAGGAUCUACUUGAAUACCUUGUAUAGAUAUCACAUGUCCCAAAAAUGCCACUUGAUUCGUCCAAAAUUGACAUUUGCUAAACUUAGCAUACAACCGAUGUUCCCUCAAACAUUUUAACACCAACUCAAAAUGACUAGUAUGCUUUACUUUCACUUAAGAGUAUACCAGACCUCAACUAUUUCCUUGAAAACACAUAGGCACCUCUAAGCUGAUCAAACAAUCAUCAAUGCACGGCAAUGGAUAACGGUUCUUAUUCGUUACCCGAUUCAAUUACCUAAUAUCCAUACAUAUUCUUAAGGUCCCGUCUUUCUUCCUUAUAAACAAAGCUGGGGUUUUCCAAAGUAACAUACUAGGUUGACUGAAACCUUUAUCAACCAAUUCCUGUGACUGAAUUUUCAAUUCCUUUAACUCUGUAGGAACCAAUCUAUAGCAUAGAGUCUGUACUUGGAGACAAUUCAAUAGUGAACACCACAUCUCUGUCUGGCGGCAAUCCAUGUAAAUCAUUCCGGAACACAUUAGGAAAAUGUCUACCACUCGUACAUCAUCCACAAUACUAGGAGUACGAUCCUGCAACACCCCAUGAGCUAGGUAUCCUUGGCAACCUUUUGAUAACAAUCUCUUUGCUCUCACAACAGAAAUAAUAGCAUGCCUCACUCCACUUGCUCACUUACAAAAGUAACCUCUGAUAAUCCAAGACAAUGGAAAGUAACUGAUUUCCCGUAGCAAUUCAUAUUGGCACGAUUAUAAUGUAACCAAUAUGUGCUUAAAAUCACAUCGAAAUCCACAAUGUCUGACGGGAUAAGAUUCGCUGGCAUAACUACUUCUUCCACCAUCACUGGACACCCUGAAUAAGCAUAACCGACAUAGAAUGACCUACAUGUUUACUUGCUUAACGAAUCCAACAAAUAAGUUAUGGAUAUUACGGUCUGCAGCCCGCAAUAACAAUAACUCACUGUCGUCUCGAUAAGUAAGCAACAAUUCUUAAGGGUGCAAUAUUAUCAUCUUGCUCUUCAUUAGAAAUACAUAUACACUCCUCGAUCGUGCUCAUUCACUACUUUCUUUGGCAACAUCGUCAAUGACAUAAAAUUUCUACAUGACAAUCAAUUAAAACUCUAGCAAAGUAACCAAGAAUGUUUAAUGUGGCCAUGAUUAAGCCCGAAAAAAAAUUUUGAGUAUCAUGUAGCUCUAUGCCCCAUUUGUCCACAUGUAACGCAUCCUCUGCUUUCUCGCCUAUACUGUCUAAAGUGCCUAUUAUUGUACCUACGGCACAAAGGUACAUUUCUUUACCAAUAUUUUCCUGCCUCUGGAAUCUGGAACCUCCAGUGAAACUAUCAUCUCUUCUCAGACUAGUAGUACGAAAGCCUACUAGAAGAAUUAGAAUUAUUUCCACUUCUUUUGAAGUUCUGAGAUGACUGACCUUUACCCUGGGUCAUCCUUCCUCUGAUUCCCAUUCUUUUCUUAUUCCUCUUUAUUCUCGUUGAUCAUGUUCUCAGAGUCCUCAAUGCUCAACAACAUCUCGUAAACUCUUGGUAAAAAGUACAAUGGACAGUGGUCGCCAAAGAACGCCACUUCUUCUUAUUAUCCAGCCAAAAACGACAUAACACCUUGACCGGAUUAGCAACAACAUCCGAAUGGAAACAAGGCAAGUCUGUAAACUCUCUAUAAUAAUAUGCCGGAGGAAUGAACUUUUCCUUAAACAAUUCUUCAAACGACUUCCAAACAGCUGUUCUUCCGAUAACAUCGGAUAACAUUCCUAUCUCCAUCAGAAUACAGAUUCAACACUCAGAAACUAGGUAGUCAUCUCGACCCACCUGUCGGGAAGAAGAUUCCCUUGACUUUGCAUAAUCCGAAACGUCUUUUCUCAAAUGAUUAAGCCAUUGAUCUACUCCCUUAGGUUCUUCAUUUCCCUAAAGUGAUUCAAAUUUAACUUAUAACCAGUCUCAAAAGGUUCCUUUAGAUAAUAGACUGAAUCACAAUGGCAAUAGUUUCCCCCCAAACUACUAUAUCAGGGAAAUUAGGCUCAUCCGAACUACGUGGCUCGCAAUGAGGCGGUAUAGUUCUGACAGAAGACACUAGGAAAUUCUUAAGAUGUCCAGAAUUGCAACCUAGGCACUGAUACCAACUGACACACCCCAUCCCGAAGGAAGGCAUGAUGUCCAUCACGUGAGAGUGACGUAACCAUUUACACAGUUCGGAAGCUAUAAAAAAAAACAAUUACUAAGAUGAAACACCCGAGGGUGAGUCCUACUUUUUUGAAUUCUGUUAGAACACCGUUGGAUUCCUCGUGGCCACCAAAGCUCUGCUAUCUGGAACCUGGAGGGGCGCAAAACAAAAUUGAGUGGGUCAGUAAAACAAAGUUUUUCGAAAACAUUUCAUUUAAACAUUUCUAAACCCUCACUGUAAAACCUGUAUACUUUCCCAGAAAAUAACAUAAUAGUAUAUAAAACCUCAUACGUCACAAAUCACCAAUUUAUCACAAAUCCAGGAAUAUGCCAUGCCAUAAAUGUUAAUAACAAAACGCUGAUGCAUCAAAAUAACAGGUGACAUAAUGAAUCAACCGGAGACCCUACAGUUGGUCCUGUAC
rnacentral:lncRNA from 1 species